rnacentral:rRNA from 1 species
ACGUACGCCAGUAUGUGUGGAGCCGUCCUUGAAAUACCACCCUUGUAGUGUUGAUGUUCUAACGUCGACCCCUAAUCGGGGUUGCGGACAGUGCCUGGUGGGUAGUUUGACUGGGGCGGUCUCCUCCCAAAGAGUAACGGAGGAGCACGAAGGUGGGCUAAUCACGGUUGGACAUCGUGAGGUUAGUGCAAUGGCAUAAGCCCGCUUGACUGCGAGAAUGACAAUUCGAGCAGGUGCGAAAGCAGGUCAUAGUGAUCCGGUGGUUCUGAAUGGAAGGGCCAUCGCUCAACGGAUAAAAGGUACUCCGGGGAUAACAGGCUGAUACCGCCCAAGAGUUCAUAUCGACGGCGGUGUUUGGCACCUCGAUGUCGGCUCAUCACAUCCUGGGGCUGAAGUCGGUCCCAAGGGUAUGGCUGUUCGCCAUUUAAAGUGGUACGCGAGCUGGGUUUAGAACGUCGUGAGACAGUUCGGUCCCUAUCUGCCGUGGGCGUUGGAAGAUUGAAGGGGGCUGCUCCUAGUACGAGAGGACCGGAGUGGACGAACCUCUGGUGUUCGGGUUGUGUCGCCAGACGCAUUGCCCGGUAGCUAAGUUCGGAAUCGAUAACCGCUGAAAGCAUCUAAGCGGGAAGCGAGCCCUGAGAUGAGUCUUCCCUGAUACUUUAAGUAUCCUAAAGGGUUGUCGGAGACUACGACGUUGAUAGGUCAGGUGUGUAAGUGCUGUGAGGCAUUGAGCUAACUGAUACUAAUUGCCCGUGAGGCUUAACCAUACAACACCCAAGGGGUUU